rnacentral:rRNA from 1 species
AACGAACGCUGGCGGCAGGCUUAACACAUGCAAGUCGAACGGAUCCUUCGGGAUUAUUGGCAGACGGGUGAGUAACGCGUGGGAACGUACCCUUUGCUACGGAAUAACUCAGGGAAACUUGAGCUAAUACCGUAUGUGCCCUACGGGGGAAAGAUUUAUCGGCAAAGGAUCGGCCCGCGUUGGAUUAGCUAGUUGGUGGGGUAAUGGCCUACCAAGGCUACGAUCCAUAGCUGGUCUGAGAGGAUGAUCAGCCACACUGGGACUGAGACCCGGCCCAGACUCUUACGGGAGGCAGCAGUGGGGAAUAUUGGACAAUGGGCGCAAGCCUGAUCCAGCCAUGCCGCGUGAGUGAUGAAGGUCUUAGGAUUGUAAAGCUCUUUCACCGGUGAAGAUAAUGACGGUAGCCGGAGAAGAAGCCCCGGCUAACUUCGU